UACGUAGGGGGCUAGCGUUGUCCGGAAUCAUUGGGCGUAAAGCGCGUGUAGGCGGUCCGGUAAGUCCGCUGUGAAAGUCGGGGGCUCAACCCUGGAAUGCGGGUGGAUACUGCCGGGCUAGAGUCCGGAAGAGGCGAGUGGAAUUCCUGGUGUAGCGGUGGAAUGCGCAGAUAUCAGGAGGAACACCAAUAGCGAAGGCAGCUCGCUGGGACGGUACUGACGCUAAGGCGCGAAAGCGUGGGGAGCAAACAGGG
rnacentral:rRNA from 1 species